rnacentral:rRNA from 1 species
UACAGAGGUCUCAAGCGUUGUUCGGAUUCAUUGGGCGUAAAGGGUGUGUAGGUGGCGCGCUAAGUCGGGUGUGAAAUUUCGGAGCUUAACUCCGAAACUGCAUUCGAUACUGGCGUGCUUGAGGACUGGAGAGGAGACUGGAAUUCAUGGUGUAGCAGUGAAAUGCGUAGAGAUCAUGAGGAAGACCAGUGGCGAAGGCGGGUCUCUGGACAGUUCCUGACACUGAGAAGCGAAAGCGUGGGGAGCGAACAGG